UAUGACAGUAAACCUCCCGACUACGAGGGCGUAAAGCCCGAGGGGGAGGUGUGGUUUACUGUCAUAAACCCCGAGGCACUGUGCAUUAAUUGAUAUAAUAAUUAUGUCCCAUCUGAUUGGCUGACUGGUUGCUAUGCAUCAAGCUGCAUGACUACCACAUAGCAAAACUAUUCAAACAAGAAGACAACUAGGAAAAGAUAGCUCGUUCACACCAGGGCUGCUGUCCACACUCAAAUCCUUGCGCAGCCUGGAGAAUAUGAGCAGCCAGCCCCUCCCUCAAAGCGAACGGUACAGAGCCACUCCCCCUCUCUGUUCAAUUAGUCAGCCCCUCCCUCCACUUACUGCGCAGCAACCAGCCAGAAGAAACAACACAGCUAGCUCUAGCCUAGCCUCGAUCCCAGGCCGAGUUUUCGCUUUUAUAACGGUUAGGCGAACAACUGGGCCUGGUACUAGUUGUCUGCGCAUGCGUCAGUUGUUUGUCAGAUUUUCUGACAAAUGGAUAUUCUUGUUCACUUUCGUGACAUUUAUAUUCGUGUACUAUCGUGUACUAGAAGUCAGUUCCCGUUUUAUCAUUAUUGGAAUCGAUUGGAAUGGCUCUUAGCUGAAGCUUCUCUCUUCUCUGAAGCUUAUUCUGAAGACUGAACAACAAGGGAAGAGGUAUAAAGCUUUGUCAAGCUUGUUAAGGUCAGAUAUUUUUGUUUGGGCCCUAUGGCCGGCUAUGCUAUCAAGUCUUGUUCAUGUUUGGCAAGAAUGUAGGUAGACUAUAGUUUCAUCAUUAAUAUGGUGGAUCAAGUGAAGAGUUUGAGCUAGAGAACUUGGUGCUGCCAUCAUCAGCUCGUCGACAAUGACACUAUAACCGAGAAAUUUAAUAUGUAUAGAUCUACACGUAUUUAAAAUGUCUACUUCUCUGUACAGGAGCAAUGGCUAAUAUCCAGCUAUCCCAACAGUGCUCCUCUUGGCUAUACUAACGGACGAGACUGGACAGUUUGAGACACAGGACUGGAGUAUGACCUGCUCAUUCGAGCGUUGCUGGGUAGCUCAGAGACAUCAAGAGAAUCUACGUUUUCUCAAGCAAUGAGUUAUGAGUUGGGGCCUAGAAUCAGAGAAGUCCAGCAGCCUGCUAAAUCUUUUUGAAACGUAAUUUGAAGGCAUUCAAUCAUCUUGAAGUUGCCCUGGGUCACUGUAAUUGUGCUGCAGCACAACUGGCAACUCCCCAGGCCUUUGUGAAGCAGCUCCCUAUGUGCAUCUUUUGUGUACUCACUCUGUGCAUUUUCUGUGUACAAAUUUCUAUUAUUGAUUUAUUAAAUAUUUUUGCCGACCACAAA